rnacentral:tRNA from 1 species
GGUAGAAUGGCUGAGUAAGGCAUUAGACUGUAAAUCUAACUACAGAGGAUAAACCCUCUUUUUACCAGAAA